rnacentral:lncRNA from 1 species
AGAACAUGAUCGGUUGUAGCUUUGUAUCCUUUUUCUGUAAGGAGAAAGGAACCAAAGUAAACGACUUCAGACUCUCCAAGUUAAACUUGGAUGGAUUCAUUGGUGGCCCCUUCUGGAAGAUAUUUGUCUGAAUAAUUGAAUCUCUUCUAAGCAUGGCAUGAAUGCAACUGUGCAUACCUUAAAUAUAUUUUAGGGAUACUUUGGAUGUGCUCCUUAGUCUCUAAUAUUCUCUGAUUCAAACCUUAAUGAUAUUCAAAGUUUGAUCAAAAUCUUUUGACUUUGUACACCUCAUUAUAUUACUAUUAAUAUUUUUAUUUUUUUUAUAGUUUUGACAUUAAUUGUUUGAUAUUUUAUGAGAUUUAUAAUCCUAUAAAUUUAAAAUCUCUCAUUAUAAUACUAUUAGAAAUGGCUACAAUAAAAAAAUUCAAACAUUUUAAUUGAAUAAAUGGAUAAAAACUAUGUAACAAUAAGAAAUAAUAAAUGGCAAAAGAAUGUAUCCGUUGUGUUAAAACAAAUUGGUACAUUUCACAUAUAACAAAGUGGUACAUUAAUAACGAAUAAUAGAUACGUUAUAAAUAAAUUAGGGUACAAAUAAAAGAUUAAAAAAAUUAUGAGUACAAAUGAAAUUUUAAAAAAUAUGGGUGCAAAAAGAAAUUAAUACUUGGGUACAAAUUCAAAAUAAAAAUAAAAUACUACAAAUUAAAAAAAGAGGUUGCAAAUUAAAAGUGGGUACAAACUAAAAAUAUAAAUAUAUGAUACAAAGUUUAGCCAUAAAACAUAAAUAUACCAUAUGUAAUUUUUCUAUCAUUGAUUAAUUAUAAAAUAUCACGUGAUGGUAAACACAUGGGCACAAAUACAAAUAAAACUUUAAAAAAUAUGGGCACAAAAAGAAAUUAAUAUAUUGGUACAAAUUAAAACUGAAAAGAAAAUUGGUACAUAUUAAAAAUGAAAAGAAAAUUGGUACAAAUUAAAAAAGGUUUGCAAAUUAAAAAUGGGUACAAACUAAAAAUAAAAAUAUAUGAUAAAAAAUUUAGUCAUAAAUAUAAAUAUACUAAUUGUAACAUUUUUAACACUAAAUGAAUAUUUUUAGGUAAAAAUAUUUUAUUAUUGAAAUAAUUAAUGACGUUAUUAAUACCCAAGAAUCUUGAUCAAAAUUUGAAAAAGAAUAAUGUUUUAAUCAAUGAAGUAGUAAAAGGAGAGAUGGGAACCUAAUUUCUCCUAUAUUGGGAUUUUUUGUACAUCAUGCAGGCUAUGCAGCUGAUCUGCUUUUGAUCAGGAGCUCCAUUCUGCGGGACUCUAUCAUAACAACCACACAGAGCAUUUUGUUGGUUAUUAAAUUCUAAACUGUUAUGUUUAGCUUUAAUUAACAACUUGUUGAUGUGGCAAUAGUUAUAAAGAGUACUUGCAAAUUUCUUGAUAGAGAUUUUUACCACCUGGAUAAAAAUACUUAAAAAUACUUGUAAGAAUACAAGGUUAUCGUAGUAUAGCAGCUUAAGUAAAGUCGUUCUCCACAAGAAUUGAAUGAAUAAUUUAUGUAAAUACCAAAUCUUAAUUAAUUAUUUGAAAACAAAGUUGGGAAGAGAUUGAUUUUAUGAGCUAAAAUAUUAAAAACGAAUUUAAUUAAAAACAAUUAAAAAAAUUGGGAAAGUAAAGAAAACAAAAUAAAAUAGUUUAAAAAAAAAAAUUAAGCACUAAGGUUCCGCCUUCACCUUAACAGUCUUACGUAUUUCUUCCAAUUACUUAUAACUUGCACAUACAAUUUGAAGGUUAGGUUUUCCUAAAGUAUAUCUCACUUGGAACCUUCAACAUAGAAUGUAUAUCUAACAUGCAACCCGUCCGUGGCAUCCAGAUCGAACGUGAACAUGCAAGACUCAUUAAGUUUUGUGAAAUCCUUUUAAAAACCCAUAUAACCCUUAAGACGUGUCGUCCAUCCUAAUAAGUUACAUAUAUUAACCACAAGAAGCUAGAGCCAAUUUCAGGGACAGCCCUCUGCCAAAAUUGCAUCAAAUUACAUUUCUAAAUAUUCUAAUGGUGGUCAAUCAUCAAAACAAUUGGAUAGUUUAGACCGGUGAUUAAUAAUUCAAAACUUGCAUGUAUAAUAUCAUAAGCAAAUUAAAAAGAAACUACCUAUUUUUGCUAAGGCUCGUGGCCUCGUCCUAGCAAACGAAACUAGUUACGAAUAGUCAUAAAAUAAAAUAUUAUUAUUAACAUGGAUAAAAAACAUUUUGAAAAUAAACUUGAAAAGCUCUCUGAGUGGUGCUUGUGUUCUCCUCCCUUCCUCUUUUCCUAAUGGCUUAAUAACCUUAUUUAUACUAAUACAAAAUAAAACCCUAAAAGAUCUUAGAAUAAAACUAGGAAACAUAAUAAAAUAAUAAAACAGAAAAUAAAAUAUUUUCAAUUUAAACUAAAAUUCGAACUUAUCAGAAAAUCCAUCUUUUGAUUGACCAAAUCAAUUCUGAUUUGGUCCCAAAAGGUCUCAUUUUUAAAGAUUGAGACGUCCCUAACAAAUCCUCAGAAAGAAUCUUCCUCAAAAUAUGUCAUCUUGACCUCCAAAAUACCUAAAACGUGCAAAAACGUCAAUCUGGAAAUGAUGUGCGCUGAGCUUUUAUUUCAUCGCCACGGUCAAAUGGCUUGGUAGAAAAAUCUGAAAUUUUGACACAAUCAUCUUGAAAGACUCACGAACAUCUCCAAUUAGAAUCACUCUAAAAUUCAUCCAUUUGAUCACUUUUUGCCCCAAAGAAAGUCUAAUGUCCUACAUUGAAAAUAUAUAACAAAGUAUCAAAAUUCUACCAAAAUAACAAAUAAACUAUAACUAAGAUAAGGGUAAAAUAUAUGGUAUAAUAGGGACUUAUCAUACAUCAUGCAGGCUAUACAGCUGAUCUGCUUUUGAUCAGUAACUCCUUUCUGCGGGACUCUAUCAUAACAACCGUUGGUUAAUAAAUUCUAAACCGUUGGUUCAUGUGGCAAUAGUUAUCAAGGGCUGAGAUUGUAUCUUUAGUCUUAGGCUCAGAUGUUAAGCAAGUGACAAGGUCUUAUAAGGCUUUGUAAAUGCAUGGUAGGAUGAACUCAUAGGCUUUCCUAUAUUCUCUCUAGCCUAACGGCUAGAUUUGUACUCUUGUGAUGGAAUGAAAUACACACACAGAUAGCAUGUUUCAUGCUCCUUGAGAUUGGGAUCCAAGUUUUGUUUCACCAUUUUUCUUCGUUUUACGUUCUUCUUCCUUCAUCAUGGUUAUUUCCCAGAAAUUCAUUUGAAUACAAAGAGAGAUUGUAACAUGGUAUCUAGAGCUCAAGUUCGAUUCUGAACUGGGUAUUGUUGGAAGUUUGAGUAGAAAUUUCUUUGUCCCACAUUGGCUAUUCCCAAAAGAUUUUAUCACUUUAUAAGGCUUUGUCCUUUAUAGAAAGUGAUUAGAGUCAUAGGCCUGGAGACUAAAAUUGGGCUAACCCUUGGGGUUGGGUUUUGGGGUGUACUAGUUAAUUGGUAAUUAAUAUAUAAUUAAUUAUAUUUAAUAUAUAAUUAAUAUAUAUUUAAUUGUCAAAAGAUGGGCCUUGGGCUCUAAUAAUUAAAUUAAUUAUUUAUUUUCGGAAUUAAUUAAUUAUUUUUUAAUUUCGAAUUUAAAUUAAUUAUUUAAUUAUUUUUACCAACAGACUCAUCUUUUCAGAUGAAGUCUGAAGUGUGAAAACGCAGAAACAAAAACACCCUUUUCAGCAGAUGUCUCCCAACAUAUGCAUCCCUUCCUCAUACCUAUUGCGAACAGGUAUAAUCACAUUAUAUAUACAUCCAUCUGCAUGGCAUUUAAGAUACAGAAAAAUCAUAAAUCUUCUCCUGCAAUCAUAAACAUCCUUUCUGAGAGAACCACAUUAAUAUUCGCCAGAAGUCAAUUUUCCGGUGCUGAAAUUUCUGACUUAGAUCGUUGAAUCCUGGUGAAGCAGACGUCCGUAGAACUACAAGCACUGAGUAGGGGCGAAAUUUCUGUUUCAAGGACAUUGCGGUACGCAAGCCUCGAUCUUCAAGUUGUCUGUUUUUAUAAAUCGUAUUCUAGUUUAUAUUCUGUUAAUUCCUAUUGCAUUUAUUAUUUAUUAGCAUAUAUCAAUUAUCACAGAUUGUUGACUUAUAUCCAACAGGUAUUUGUUCUAUGAAAUUUUUGUGAGAAAAUCCAAUGAGAAAUCUCUCAACUUCAUUCUGAUUCGAGCUAAAUUGCUGGACCUAGAAGCAGUGAGCUACAAGCUUCCUUUUUUUAUGGAACGGAAUUUGAAUUCUAGAAAGUCAAGAUGAUUACUAUCUUCAAAUCGUACAAGAUUUGGAAGUGGCAGACAAAGAGAUUGUAAUCUCAUAAUCAAAGAAGAAGAAGGAGAAAGCUAAAUCGAAGAUGAAGGAGGAUGGAUCUUCAUCCGUUUGUUGAAUUGUAAGUCUCUAGCUGGUUAGGAAAUAAGAUGUGUAUUACAUUUGUGUAUUCACUUAAGUCUAAAUACCAAGUGUGCAGCUCUAAUAUAGUAAGGCAAAUAAUGCCAGAUAUAAUGAUCCUAGCAGCUAACUAAAUGUAAGGCUGAGAUUGUUAUUGUGAAGAGAGAUUCUAACGGUUAUAAAAAGCACAGUUAAAGUGUGAAUUGUAGUCAAAUGAAUGAGAACAUGUUGUGCUAGAUUUUGCAAAGACAGAAACCUUCAAGAAAAUUCCUCCAUUGUUAUCCUUCCUAUUUUUUUGGUUCUUCAUCUAUUAUUCAUAACCAGUCUUCUGCAAAUCAUGAUCACUCAUAUUUUUCAUGCAUUUAUACCAUCUAUUUCUAAAGUCUUUGUGAUGUUUUUGUUUUAAAAUUGUGGCAUUUUACCUUACCUUGUAAUAAUGUGCAAUUAAAUUUGUUUUAGGAUCAAUUUCAAGCAAAAUGGAGAAAAGGAAUUAAU